rnacentral:lncRNA from 1 species
AUUUAUAUUUUAUCUCUAACUAAUAUUUACUAUAAUGUGAAAAGAAAUUAUACGCCAAUGGUGUCAUUUCCACAGGAUUUUGCCCGAAGUUGGCUAAUGCAAGGCCGAUAUACUUUGAUCCAAGAUCAACAACUAUAAUAUUUUUCUUAAGGGCUUUACAUUCUCUCAAACGAUUCUUGGCAGUUUUUAGACUCAUUUGGGAUUUUAUUUUAAUUAACCAAUAAAUUUUCUUUUUGCCAAACGAUUAUGCUUUUUUUGAUUUGUGCUCCUCAAAUUAGAUUAGAUAAUCAUGCGUUGAUCAUGCUUUGUUAAAAAUAUAAAAGAAAAAAAAUCAUUCAUUGUAUAUGUAUUUAUUUGAGGUUGAAUCACAACAUAUAAUGCCUAUGCUAAAUUUUUAAAAUUUGAUAUUUCUAUAUGUUACACUAAAUUAUAAAAAGCCCAAAAGCCUACAAAAACAAUAAUGCUACUAUAGAAUACAAAUUGAUUAUGUAUUGUUGUGAUCUGUUGAUCAAUCUAACAAGAUCAAACACUACUGUGGAUCUUGAUUAAAUCAAAAUAUAAUAUGCUUAACUUGAUGAUUGAAUCUAGAAAAAAUUUAAUUCUAUAACAAUAACAAUUUACAGGAUUCAAGAGACAAGUUUAAUGAACAUAACCCUAAAUCGAAACAACUGCAACCAAGAAACAAAGAAAGAUUUACGUGGUUCAGCUGAACAAGAGCGGUGUAACCUACAACCAUGGGAGAACCUUUUUGAUGAAUUUUUUAUUGAUGAUCAAUGGAGAAUUUCACCAAGCAAUUACAAAAGAUUAUAAAGAACAAGCUAAAAAUUUCUCUCUCUUCUGUCUCUCCCUAAUUUGCUAAUAAUGAUUAUCCUAAUCUGUUCUGUUGGCUAGCUUAAAUAACUGCAUCAGUAACAAGCCAAAAAACCCAGAUUGCACAGCAUGAAGACUCGUAGAUAACAACUUUGCCAAACUUGACUAAAGAUUUCUCACAUGGCCAUCACGCACAUCAUUUUAAGUAAUGAUCAAAACGACUUUAUCCAAGUGUUGUUUUGAUGCUUAUGAUUUAUAAAUGAAGCAUGCGUUUUGUCUCAUGACUUUUAAAUGCAAUAGCCAUCCCUAUAAAUGUCGUUUCACUUUACUGAGUUUGAUUCACCACCAAGUUUCACAGAUUGCUAGAGAACUAAUGUAGAUUUUUUUAAAGAAGUCUCAUCUAUUACUGUGGUUGCAUUAGAUGUGAACUUCAGCUUUGUCAUAUUAUUUAUCUUUAGUGAUUUUUAUUUUCCACCUCAAAACAAUUGCAGGAUGGUGAUUGGAAAAUGCCAUCUGUUGAAUUUGAUUCUUAUAAUGAAAUGUUGUUGCAUGAUUGGUACUCGAUAUCCCCUUACUUCAGUGAUGUAGGCGUUUCAUUUUUAUCCAUUAAUUACCGUGUCCUGAGCUUACAACUUUUU